AGCGAACGCUGGCGGCAGGCUUAACACAUGCAAGUCGAACGGGCGUAGCAAUACGUCAGUGGCAGACGGGUGAGUAACGCGUGGGAACGUGCCUUUUGGUUCGGAACAACUGAGGGAAACUUCAGCUAAUACCGGAUAAGCCCUUACGGGGAAAGAUUUAUCGCCAAAAGAUCGGCCCGCGUCUGAUUAGCUAGUUGGUGAGGUAAUGGCUCACCAAGGCGACGAUCAGUAGCUGGUCGAGAGGAUGAUCAGCCACACUGGGACUGAGACACGGCCCAGACUCCUACGGGAGGCAGCAGUGGGGAAUAUUGGACAAUGGGCGCAAGCCUGAUCCAGCCAUGCCGCGUGAGUGAUGAAGGCCUUAGGGUCGUAAAGCUCUUUUGUGCGGGAAGAUAAUGACGGUACCGCAAGAAUAAGCCCCGGCUAACUUCGUGCCAGCAGCCGCCGUAAC
rnacentral:rRNA from 1 species